rnacentral:rRNA from 1 species
UCCGUAGGUGGCAAGCGUUGUCCGGAUUUACUGGGCGUAAAGGGCGUGCAGGCGGUUUGUUAAGUCUAGGGUGAAAGCUCCCGGCUCAACUGGGAGAGGUCCUUGGAUACUGGCAAACUUGAGGGAUGCAGAGGAAAGUGGAAUUCCCGGUGUAGUGGUGAUAUGCGUAGAUAUCGGGAGGAACACCAGUGGCGAAGGCGGCUUUCUGGGCAUUACCUGACGCUGAGACGCGAAAGCGUGGGGAGCGAACCGG